rnacentral:lncRNA from 1 species
GGAUGUAGAUGGUGAUAUCUAUACAGAUGGAUCUUAUAUAUAUGGUAUAAUGAAGUACCACAUGGGUGGAUAUAUAGGAAUCAAAAUCUGCCGAAUCACUCAUGUUAUGAUCUUCUACAUCCUAGGUCUUCCCGUUCCAUCAUCUGGCUUAUGUUCUUCAUGUAGCAUUCAGACCGGAUGACUCUAUUAAAUUACGUUGAUACUUCCACAUAUUAUGGGUAACGUAGGAGACAUCUCUAUUUUUCCCCCCGGGAAUCUUUAGAAUUACCACUGCUUAGCUUUCAAUUCGCCUCUGACCAUCAAAUGAAAUGUGAAUAAUCCGUCCUCUUCUCUUUGAAAGAAGGGGCGCUUCCGGUUCUGUCGGUGCUUGAAACAAUUUUGUCUUCUCCAUAUUACUAUAUCUCUAGAGUCAAUAAUUUUAUAUGAGGAACUACUGAACUCAAUCACUUGCUGCCGUUACUCUUCAGUUUUCUGUUGAGGUCUAUCCUGUAGAGGUACUCAAAUUGGAUCAGUGAUCGAUUUCUAGGUUUCGUCGUAAACCUAAUUGGUUACUUCCAAUUACGUAAAUCAAUAGUUCAAACCGCACUCAAAGGUAGGGCAUUUCCCAUUUUUAUANGCUAAUUAAAUAUGGACUCUUACAUAUAUAUAUAUAUAUAUAUAUAUAUAUAUAUAUAUAUAUAUAUAUAGAUUGGGCUAAGAUUUAUUUAGAAUGGGCUAAGAGUAUAUGGAAGUCCAUGGAGCCUUUAGCCAAUGGAUCCUAGGUAAAUGAAGAAUCAUGGGUAUUAGGGUUUAACCCUAAUCCUCCAUAGUAUAUAAAGAGGUCCUUGGUUCUAGCAAGCAUCAUAUUCUCUCAAGUAUUUCCAAGUUGUUUUGGGUGAUUUGUGACACCACUUGAGGGAUCCACACUAUUGGUGCUAGGCUCUAAAACUCCAAGCAAUCAACCACAAAAGAAAGGUAUGUUAUUCUACUUAAAGUUUUAUAUUACAAGUACCCCAUAACAUGCUAGUUAGGUUGUAAACCUUGGAAAUAAAAUUUGCAUGUAUUUUAGAUAAAACAUUGAUCCAAGGUUUCUAGGGUUUCAUGUACACCAUAGGAGUGUUAGAAUGCUCAAAACCCAACAAUGGUAUCAGAGACUAGGCUUGUUUUCUUGAUACUUGAUGUAAACUUGUUGAAAAAGCUCAAAAAUAUGCUAUCUGCUGCAUGAACUUACCGAGUCCAUGUGUAAAUUCAUCCUACUCGUCGAGUAGGUUCUUGCACUCGACGAGUAGGGGCCCCAGAAUUAGUUUUUCGNCGUCGAGUAGGUUCUUGCACUCGACGAGUAGGAGCCCCAGAAUGUAGUUUUUCGAGUUUUGGUGCUGGAAAUGGACUAGAAACAUUACUCUAAACUGUUUUGGUGUUUUAAAACUUGUUUUAGAUGGUGUAAUGGUUAUGCAAAUCCAUUUACAAUGGCUUAUAUCAAAAUUCCAUGUUUUAUAUGUAUUAAUAUGAUUCUUGAAAUUUUGAUAUUGAUGUUCAUGUUCUUAUAAGUUAUUGUUAGAUCAUACGAAUUAUUUUUUGAAUUGGUUGAUGAUUAAUUCUUGAUCAAUUAUGUUUUUUAAUGGAAUCCAUAAUUUGUCCUCAAGUUAUGGAUUACGAAAAGUCACUCUUUUAAAGUCCAUAUUAAAACACAUAGGUUACAUAAAAUGAAAGGUCACUCAUUUUAAUGAACCAUUAACUCAUAAGUUAUGGAGUUGAAAAGUCUUGAAUAGUUUCAAAACUUGCCCUCAAGUUUGGAAUUUGUAAAGUCUUACACAUUAAUACUUUAAAUUCCAAAUUGAACCUUAGAUUUUAAAAGUUUAAAAUUCAACCCUUAUACUUCUAUAAUAUUAAAAGUUUAAUUAUUAUAUAUNGGAAGCUGGUCUAUAAGGGGGUAUAAGGUUACUGCCUAUAAAAUAGCGGUUUAAUGGGUGUCCACUCUCACCCACCGCUUCCUUGACUGGUGGAGGGUCGUUAUCCGAACGGGUAGGAUAGGACCUUAAUCCUCAUUAAAAGUAUAAUGAAAAUAUAAAGUAACUAAACCUUUAUUAAUUCCUAAUCUUAGUUACUUUAGGAAAAUAUGAAAUAGGUUCUAACCCAUGAAAUUACACUUUGUACCUUACCAAGUCGUUAGUGGAGCGUGUGUGGUUAACCGACACAGUAACAAGGAAUAGUAAGAGUGACAAAGGGUGAGUUAAGUUUUAUCAUAGAUCGGUGUAGUGCAUGUGGUUAACCGGCACAUCGAUUAGGUGAAAAAAUUAAGGGUACCAAGUCAAUUUGCAUGGUUAUUCACACAUUGUUUGUGAUCCUCAGCAUCCCAGUCACAAACUUGAGAGGACACAAUCGAGAUUUAAGCAUGCCAUUGAAAGUUCAAUGUAUCUCAAAAGAUCUAGGAGUUUCAAAUCCAAUUAAAACUUAAUAAUUUAUUUCGUUUAUAAUGGUGGAAAUUGGUAAAUCGUCAUUUACCUACAUUCAAAUGUUUUAUAGCUUGGAUUACGACAUCCCUCUUCCAAGUUAUGAAAUAAUUUGUAGGAUCCAAGCCUUGAUAUUUCAUUUGGGUAACUUAUUAAGGACUUCGUAUCUAAUUAAAACUUGUCCUUCUUUCUUUUCAGAUGUCUUCCAACAUUGCUGCUGGCUCAAACCCUACAGGCUCCUUUUCCCUCAUGAACUUAUGUGGGAAAGUCACUUUUGAUGGUUCUAAUUUCAAUGAAUAGAUUAGGAACAUCAAAAUGAUUACCCGUUAUGAGGACAAGGAAUAUGUCCUUGAUAAGGAGCUUAAGGUUAUCAAUGAGUCCACUGCUACUCCUGAGGAGAUUGCGGAGUAUGCAGCACAUGAGAGGGAUGCUACUAAAGUGUCCUGCAUUAUGUUGGCUACGAUGACUCCCGAACUCCAGAAAUCCUAUGAAAAUUUCUACCCCUAUGAGAUGCACCAGGAUCUGAUGAAAAGGUACCAUCAGAGCACACGUCAAGAGAGGUAUGAAAUCAUAUCCUCUAUGAUAACAACCGGGAUGAAGGAUGGUGAACCCAUCACUGGUUACUUGCAUAAAAUGUAAAGGUUCAUGGACCGGUUGCUGAAGCUUAAUAUGGACUUCCCUGAGGACAUGGCGAUUGAUAUCAUUCUCCAUUCCUUACCUCCAAGUUAUGAUCGGUUUCGCAUGACUUAUCAUAUGAACAAGGAGGAAGUUACACUCAGCAAACUUCAAGGACUUUUAAGGACCGCUGAAAGUGGCCUUAAAGGUAAAUUGGUUGUUACUUCGACUCCUACUCCUACAACAACCCUUGUUCUGGCAAUUGGUCAGGGAAAGGAGAAGAAGAGGAAGACCCCUUCGAAGGGUACCAAGGGAAAGUAUCUUGAUGGCUCCUUUUCAAGAGGGACCAAGAAAGGCCCCAUUCCUCCUUCUUCAAACCCAAAGGAAGCACAAUGCUUCUACUGCCACGAAAAGGGGGCACUGGAAGCGAAGCUGGCCUAAGUACUUGCAGGAUGUAAAGGAUGGUAAAGUUAAACCCACCCAUGCAGGUAUUUAUACCAUAUUGUCUAAAAAAUCAUUGCAUACUAACUCUUGGGUGCUUCAUACAAGCUAUGGUAUUCACAUUUGUACUGAUUUUCAGGGCCUAAGAAGUAGUGAAGAAGUGGAGCACGGGAAGAUAAACUUAAUAAUGGGCAAUAGGAAAGCAUCACAUGUGACCAAGAUUGGAGUUUAUUCUUUAUUGCUUAAUAAUGGGUUAACUUUAGAUUUGAAUAAUUGUUGUUACUCGUCAUAAAUGGCAGGAAAUAUUAUUUCCUUUCACAGUUUGUACAAGCAAGGAUUCACCUUUUCUUUUGAUAAUAAAAUUGGUGCUAUUGAUGCUUUUUAUAAUGAUGUGUUUUAUUUUAAAGCAUUACCUUGUAAUGGUGUAUAUGAAACUGUGUCGAUUGUAGAGAAUUUAGGGAAUAAUGUAUUUCAUAUUGAUUCUUCGAUUACCUUGGAUAAAGCAUCCUUGUGGCAUUGUCGUCUUGGACAUGUCAAUAAGAAGCGCAUAGGCCAACUCCAAAAGGUUGGAGUUUUGGAAUCAUUUGACCUGAAAUCAGAUGAUAGUUGCGAGUCUUGUUUGCUUUGAAAAAUGACAAAGUCAACCUUCACUAGUUCUUGUGAGAGGGGUGAAGUAUUGUUGGACCUCAUACACACAGACAAGGUUGUAGAACUCGUUACUCGGUACCUGUUCGGCCGACUACCGAGCAGCGAGUACCCGGGAGUACUCGGAUUCGGUAAUUCAUCUAGAUAUAUUUUUAGGGAAAUUAUAUACGUCAAAAUUAUAAGUUAAAAUCAUAAGUUGAUUAAAAUAUAUAACAAAAUUAGAUACAUGUGAAUACACAAAAGCUAAAAAACACAUAAUGGUCUCACUUUGUGAAUAAUUACUGAAAAUUUAUGAUAUAUGUGUAGUAAUAAUCACAUGUGUGUUUUAAAUAAUAAAUCAUUAAGUAUUUUAUACAUAUUAAUCACCGAGUUGAGCGCGUUUUACAACACUACUCAGUUCAGUAAGGGGCUGAUCAGGGAGUACUCGGGAUUCUGUAACUCGCCUCGGUAAAGGGCUGAGUAGCGAGUACUCGGAGGAGUAAUCGGCCAACUCAGCGAGUUUUACAACAUUGCACACAGAUGUGUGUGGAUCCUUCAAAACCGCCACAAGGGAUGCUAAUCGCUAUUUUAUGACUUUUACUGGUGAUUACAGUAGAUAUGGAUAUAUCUACUUAAUCGAGCAUAAGUCAGAAACCUUUGAAAAAUUCAAAGAGUUUAAGUAGGAGGUGGAGAAUCAACUGGACAGGAACAUCAAGAUGCUCCGAUCUGAUCGAGGAGGAGAGUAUCUUAGUAUUGAGUUCCUUAACUAUCUUAAGGAAUGUGGGAUUGUCUCACAAUUGACAACUACUAGGACACCGUAGCUGAAUGGUGUAGAUGAUAGGCACAAUCGAACCUUGUUAGACAUGGUUCGUUCCAUGAUGAGUCGAGCUUCCUUACCAAUCUCAUUAUGGGGGUAUUCCUUAGAGACUGCCGCCCAUAUCCUUAAUCUAGUCCUUACCAAAAAGGUUGCCAAAACACCUCACGAGAUGUGGACUGGGAAAGUUCCAAAUCUAGACCACAUCAAGAUUUGGGGUUGCGAGGUUUUCCUGAGGCGCGAGUCUCACGAAAAGCUCGAACCUCGAAGUGAGAGGUGUAUAUUCAUCAGUUACCUAUAGAAUCCUUUGGUUACCUCUUCUACAGACCCAGUGAGAAUAUGGUCUUUGUUGCAAGGAGAGGAGUCUUUCGUGAGAGAGAAUUUAUAAUCCAAGGAGACAGUGGGAGGCAAAUUGACCUUGAAGAGCUUCAAGAUUCAAGCGGUGAAGGAACCUUAAACACUAGCGACCAACCUGAGGAGGAAACUCCUGUUGAGCCGAUAGAUGAGUCCGUACCUCCGAGGCGUUCCACUAGAGUUAGGAGCACACUUAACUUUUAUUAUGGUUAUCACAUCACUACUGAAGGUGAUACAUUUAUUAGUGGCAAUACACUGAUAGAUUUGGAUGAACCUAAUAAUUACAGGGAACCCAUGGCAGGCCCUGAGUCUGCCAAAUGGAAGGAGGCUAUGGACAGCGAGAUUCAAUCCAUGUAUGACAAUCAAGUUUGGAACUUGGUUGACAAUGUACCAGGUCGUAAGACAGUUGGGUGCAAAUGGAUCUUCAAGAAGAAGACCAGCAUGGAUGGAAAGGUGCAUACUUACAAAGCGCGACUGGUGGCGAAGGGCUUUACUCAAACUCCGGGAGUUGACUAUGAUGAUGAUGGGAUUUGAGCAAUACAUCAUUCCUAUGGUGUACAUGCAAACCCUAAUAGCUUUUGGAUCUAGUUUGUCUAAUGAACAUGCAAUUGAAUAUCCAAAGCUAUAAACCCUAGAUAUAGCAUAUAAUUAAUCAUAUUAACACAAAAUAGGGUUUAGAUCCAACCUUUGAUUGUUAUAUAGCAAUAACAAGCUAAUCCUUGGCUUCAGAAAGCUUAGUUCCUCAAGUGUUGCACCUCUAAUGGAGUCACAAACACCACUAAGUAAUUUGGAUGAAGAGGGAGGAGAGAUGAGCACCAAAAUCGUCCAUGAAACCCUAAGGAUUCAGUCACCACGUUUUUGGGGCUUAGGGGCUCCUUAAAUAGGUAGGCAAUUAGGGUUAUCUAACAAGGAAACCCUAAUUUGACUGCUUAAUCCCUAAGCAGCCCAUGGACCCCUUCUGGAACAUGCCUUGGACGAUUUCUAAUGGGCUUCCCCAUAGAAUUCGUCCAACCUAUUAUUCCAAGGUGAUCCAUAGCCAAAUUCCAAUUAUUUUAUAAUUACAAUUCCAGUCCCCUAAGCUUAAUUAAUCUCUUUAGCCACAAAAUUAAUUCUUUAUUAAUUCUUGACUAAUAUUAAUUAAACAAUAUGAUUUCUCCUUUUAUAUAUUAUUCUCAUAAUAUAUUAAUAAAUCACAAUUAAACCUUACUCUCCUUAAUUCAUCCUACAUAUUGCUAUGGUGAAGGCAACCUAAAAGGACCAUGUUCAUAAUUGGGUCAAGUACAUACCAAAAUAGUUAUGGACUUAGACACUAAUCAAACAGUCUCCCACUUGGAUAAGUCUAAUAACUAUUUUGUAUAACUUCAGAACCUGAUCAACAAUCGUAGCUUUCAAAAGCUAUCAUCCUACAUAUUGCUAUGGUGAAGGCAACCUAAAAGGACCAUGUUCAUAAUUGGGUCAAGUACAUACCAAAAUAGUUAUGGACUUAGACACUAAUCAAACAGUCUCCCACUUGGAUAAGUCUAAUAACUAUUUUGUAUAACUUCAGAACCUGAUCAACAAUCGUAGCUUUCAAAAGCUACUGACAACUCUGAUCUUAUCAGAUACGCGUGUCCUUUAGAUAAGGGAUCAUAUAUUCCUCCAUUCUCAAGAUAUCAUAUAGACAUAAGACAUGAAUUUUUAAUCAUUCUCUCUAUACUGUUUCCCAACUUCCGAUUUAUGACGACUGACAACAGACUACAAUUGAACACAUCAACUUAGUCUCGGCUUGGCCAAACGCUUAGGUGUCAUCACUAAAUCAUCUAGGGGUCCAUAGAUAUCACUUUUAUCCCACUUUGGGUAAAAGGAAUGGAUAAACUUCGAAUCAAAUUCUCACUUGCUCUUACUCAUCAAAUCACACACAACAAUAUGUUUUAUAACACCAAGUUACUAGUGCGUUUACAUAUUAUCAAUGUGCAACCGAAUCGUAAUUACAACUUACACGUCUCAGUUUCAAGAAUAUACAAUAUUAUCGACUCACAAUCACUCGUGAUAAAAUUCAUGAAUUGAUUCUUGUGAGCGUGGGUUUAAUCCAAUACUCUAAUCUUAUUAAAGCACUCAUGAACUCUGCAGCAAACUUGUGCUAUGUCUAAGCUUUUAGACAAUCUACAGACUCUUCAUGACAAUCUUGCUUCAUACCUACUUCCAAAGUAUGACCGACUGUGGAGGUUCGAAUAACCCAGUUAUUUUGGAAGUCAAAACAUGCAAACUGAAACACAACAAUAAUACUUAAUCCUAUAUGGCCCCAAACUUGUGGGAGUAAAUAAAACAUUUCUAUUUAACCACCAUAUUGAUUACUCAUUAUUUAUCAUUUAAUGUUUCAGAUAAUCAACUCGUUACUCAAAUUACAACAAUAGUUGUCCCAUGCACAAAGCAUGCACACUAUGUUUCCUAUGGUCCUUACUUUUUGAAAUAGAUCAAUUGAAAAAUUAUUCCAAUGAUGCUCAUUUCACAAUUCCCAAUCCUUAUCAUUAGUGUUAGAACACAAGUUUCUUGCCACUACUAGAAUAUGCUAGAUUCUAACAUUUUAUGCAACGAUCCUUUCGCAAAGUCACAGCACAAAAGUCACCAAGACUUGGCCAAUGAAAUUACAAAGUACUCUAUCGAAAUUGUUACAAGACAAUUCCAUAGACGUGAAGUCUCACAUUCAAAGUACAUUCCUUUGAACAUCCUUCUUGCAUAAAAUUUUCUAAUCUAGACAUAGACUCUCAAUAUCCAACUCCCAAUAUGGAAACAUUUCCAUAUUUGCCAUAUGACAACUCAUUCUUAAUAGAAUCUUAUCUAUUCAUAAUAAUGUCAAUAUGGUCCAUCCAAUACCAUAGUUCCAACUACUCACAAGCGACCAAUCCUCAGCGAACUUUGGAUUAUCCUUUGAUAGUUGUUUAAUUAUUUUAGUCAAAACCGAUUCUAGUCCUUUUUCUCUCUUAAUGCGCUAGACAUUUGGAAAAUUUUAGAAUGGUCAAAUAUUAUAGCAUUUGCAAUCGAUCUUAUACCCAAAGCGUAUGGGACACAAUGCAUAAUGUCUUACAUAAAGAUAUGAUACUUUAUCAAUCUUCUGUCAUAAUAUUUUAUGUGUCACGUUCUCACAAUUCGAACUAUGAAGAGGGAUGCUGUAAUCAUAAUCGAAAUCUAAGAACACACUAUGUAUCCUUUGACUAUAUUAAUUAAAAUUUCUCAAUCUAAGCUUUAGAUUUUGAAACGAAGUAUAAUAUUCUCUCCUUUAAUUAUAGCAAAACAACUUUUCAACCCUUGUGAAUUUGCAAAGUGAAUCUUUGUCUUCUAUAAUUAAUAUUGCUAACUUGAAAUACUUGCCAUAAUAAUCAUACAAGCAUAACACUUAUGCUCCCACUAUCAUGAUGAUUAUUAUCAUAUAAUCAUAACACUUAUGCUCCCACUAGCUUUGACAUGUAUUCAGAAAACAGCUGAACUUCCAGAAAACAAUACCUAUUGAAUUUUUGAAGUUCAUUAUUCUAAUACCAGAUGCUUCGAUAAGCCUUUAUCUAAGCUUUUUAAACUUAAACACCUUUGCCCUAGAUAGCUCAUAUGUGUGUCUUAACUAAUUCAAAACUUAUACCAAUAAGUCCCAAAUGUUAGACUAAUUGCCAAACUCACAAUUCGAACUAUGGAAAGGGAUGUCGUAACCAUAAUCGAAUUUGAGAAUACAGUUUUUCACAAUUGCUAUCUUCUUAAAAUCUCUCUUAGUGAAAUCAUUUCCUCACAUUCAUUUUCAUGAAGGAUGGAAUCUUAUGACACUUAUAUUUGUGAAUUUGCCAAAACCAAAGUUUGCGACAAAUCCAAUCUCAUAUGGACUGAACUUUCUUAAUCUUGCCUUAUGGUAACACGAGUGCCCACCAUGUCUUCCAAGUAGUUUAGAAACUUAUCCUUACAUAUCAAUGUACUUUCCAUCGAUAAAGGUGCUUUGCAUGUAUGCAUUCAAAUGAGAAUUCAUAGAACUCACAUGCAUAAUUAACUCAAUUGGAAUGACAUAGAAAACAAAAUAAUGUCAACACGAUAGGUUGUAAACCUCAAGUCGUGUGCUAGUGAAGAUCGAUAAGGUUUAUUCUUGAUUUGUUCUUGAAACUUUUUCAAGAUCAUUAAAACUCCCACUGACCUCUUGACAUAUAUGAUUCUCUUUGUCAAGAAACAUUUCUUCACAAAAAAAUAUUCAAGAGUUAGUGUAGUUAUUAUCAAGACAAAACACUUCACAAAUUGGUCCUAGUUGGUCUUUGUCUUAUCCAAGACAUCAUAACUUACCAAUUUCAAAUGUGCAAGAAUAAGAAAAAUUUUCCAAAUUCCACAUUUGAUGAGUGUUAUAAACCUACUUAAGACUUGUCACUCAAUUUGCAAUCUUGGAGUAUGGCUCUAAGAUUCGAUAUUGGAACGAAGUAUGCUUGACUUCUUGAUUUAACCAUUUCCACAAUUCUCGAUUCCUCUUCUUAGACAUACAAAUGUACUAAGACUUACUUAGAGGACCAAUUGAGAUAUGGUUCUUAAUCAUUAAGACUUAUCAUAAAACACAAUAAAAGGUACUCUUCCUUAUUCUUAGAAUAGAGAAACUUUUAUCUUUCUGCCUACUUGAUUCUUCUUUAUUCGUUCUGCUAUUCAUUGAAACUCUUCCAAUCAACUCAGAAUUACACUUAAUCUUAUAAGUAUAAUCAUAUUUACUAAACUUUUAGUAAAUCAUGACGAAUAUCUUAUCUCUCUUUGUGGUGGACUUGAUCAACGCACAACCAAGUGUACUCGAUCUCCUAGUCCUUCACUUGACACUUUGUCAAAGAAUUAGUCUAAUUUCCAAAUAUGAAAGUUUUUCAUUCAUCACGCAACCAAGUUGUAUGAUUCCAAAUUUCUGUCCAAUUGAAACUUGGGCGAUGAGAAACUCUCCCAAUUUGGUAAAUUCUUGACAUCUCCACAAAUAACAUAAUUAAAAAUCAAAUCCAUUAUUGCAAAUAAUAGAAACCUUCAAAAAUCAAUUUUUUCAUUCACGCCAUUGCAAGGAUAAGAUAAAAUAAAAUUUUAUUUUAUUGCGGAAAAAUUUGUCCUUACAAUGCAAUUCAAUUGAAAAACUAUGUUAUUACAUAUUUCUUAGCAAUCUAUUCUAACUCCAAGUAGUAACUCAAGAAUCUAAUCUUCAACUCACUUCUUCCCUUAAGCUUCCUCUCUUUUCUUGGAUCCUACAAUACAUCAAAAUGUAAUCUUAUCACAUCAUGAAUUUAGAAUCUAGAAUAGGAACUCAAAAGAGUUAGAUAAUGGAUUUUACCUGAAGUAGAGCCAUACGUCUUGACUCUCCCAUCUCUUAGAUCUCUCAGGUAAAUAGGGCAGCUUCGUCUCCAAUGCCCCCUCUCUUGGCAAUAAAAGCAAAUGGACUCCUUUGGAAUGGCACAAGGGACUAUCUCAGAAUUUACCUUUUCUGGAUCUCCAAUGUCACCAUUUUCAAUUCCAUUGAAGNCCAAUGUCACCAUUUUCAAUGUCCAUUGAAGUUUGGGAGUUUGAUUCACCAGACAAAUUUGCUUGACCAGCAUGCCAAAUCAUUGCUGAUUCAGCAACUAUAAGCAAAAUGGUGAGAUCAAUGAGGAUCACGUCGUGUUUCAUCAUAUAGUGCUCUCUUACGAACUCACUAUAUGUUUCAGGAAGCAACUGAAGAACCCAGCCAAUAGCCAACUCACCUGAAAUCUCGACACCCAUCAUCCUUAACCUGUCAAUGUGUGACUUCAUCUCUAAGACGUGUGCACACACAGGUUUCCCAUCUUCGUGUUUACUUGCCAAAAGGGCUUGAGUUAGCUUGAACUUUUCAAGCCUUCGAACUUGUGUGUCAGGGAGAAUAAUUGGAGGAGGUAGAGGAAGUGAAGCAUGAUCUCUAGUUCCUCGAUCAUAUUGUGGAAUAUCAUUUCAUUUGGAAAACUUGUUCCAUGGGAUUUGGGAAGACCAUUUUUAGAUUCAGACAUCUACAAAACAGGAGAAAAUUCAAGUUAAGUUGAUUAUAAUCCUUGAUGUAACACCCAAAUGAAACAUCAAGGCUAGGAUCCAACACAAUACUCUACAACCUAGAAGAGGGAUGUCGUAAUCUAGUUGCAGAAUAUUUUAAGGUAGGUAAAUGACGAUUUACCAAUUUCCACCAUGAAAAACGAAAAGAAAUUUAAGUUUUAAAUGAAUUGAAACUCCUAGAUCUUUUUGAGAUUCAUUGAACUUUUCAAUGGCACGUUUAAAUCUUGAUUAUGUCCUUUAUUUGUGAAUGGGAUGCCGAGGAUCACAAAUAAGGUGUGAAUAACCAUGCGAAUCACGUGGUGCACCCAAUGCUACUAUCACCUAAUCAAUGUUCCGGUUAGCCACACACGUUCCAUUGAUUUAUGAUAAGCAUCGUGCCACCCUUCGCUACCAAUGUCAUCCCAAAUUAGUGUGUCGGUUAACCACACACGCUCCACUAACAUUUGACAAGGGUACGAAGUGUAAUUCCAUGGAUUAGCAUACAAUUUCACAUUUUUCCUAAAGUAACUAUGAUUUGGGAAUUUGUAAAAGAAUUUAGUGACUUUGUACUUCAUUAUACUUAUAAUGGAAGGUUUCUGUCCUAUCCUACCCGUUCGACUAACGACCUUCCACUAGUUAAGAGUGCGGUGGGUAAGAGGUGAUACCCAUUCAAUCACCAUUUUAUAGGCAAUUUCUUUAAACACCCCUUAUAGACCAGCUUCGUGAAUGAGGCCUACUAACAGUAAGACUGACUCUUUACUCAUAUAUAUAUAUAUAUAUAUAUANGGUGUGAUUUGAACUUUUUAAAAUACUAGGGUUUUAGAAUUUAACAUUUCAAAAUUAAACUUUUAAUCAACUUUUAAAUUCCAAAACUUGAGGGCAAGUUUUGAAACAUUUCAAAACAUUAGGGUUUAGAAUUUAAAUAUUUCAAAAUUAAACUUUUAAUCAAAAAUUUAAAUUCCAAAACAUUAGGGCAAGUUUUGAAACAUUUCAAAACAUUAGGGUUUAACUAUUUAAAUUUCAAAAACAAAAACUUUUAAGUUGAAAUUUAAACUAUAAAACCUAAAGGGGAAAAUGAAACUUUUUCACAAGAUAAUUCAAAUCUAAAUUACAAAUAAUCAAUCUUUAUCUAAUAAAACAAAAGAUUAUCUAAAUUUUACAAUUAUCUACUAUUUUGGUAAGGAUAUUCACCCAAAAUCAAGAAAAAAAACAGAUUUUAUCAAUUAAAACUGUUUUGGUAAUUAUCAAAAUAGGCAAGAAAAUCACUAAAACAGGCUGCCAUACCCAUGGACUCGCCGAGUCAGGGACUGGACUCGCCGAGUCGACCUGACUUGCCGAGUUCAUCCACUGACUCGCCGAGUCAGUAAGGUAGAGGGAAAAAAAACUUCGUUUUUCAUGCAAAAAUCGAUCAAUCAAGCAACAAAUUCACUAACAAACAGCCCUAGUCUCUGAUACCACUGAUGGGUUCUGAGCAAUACAUCAUUCCUAUGGUGUACACGCAAACCCUAAUAACUUUUGGAUCUAGUUUAUCUAAUGAACAUGCAAUUGAAUAUCCAAAGCUAUAAACCCUAUAUCUAGCAUACAAUUAAUCAUAUUAACACAAAAUAGGUAGAUCUAACCUUUGAUUGUUAUAUAGCAAUAACAAUCUAAUACUUGGCUUCAGAAAGCUUAGUGCCUCAAGUGCUGCACCUCUAAUGGAGUCACAAACACUACUAAGCAGUUUGGAUGAAGAGGGAGGAGAGAGGAGCACCAAAAUCAUCCAUGAAACCCUAAGGAUUCAGUCACCAUGUUUUUGGGGCUUAGGGGCUCCUUAAAUAGGUAGGAAAUUAGGGUUAUCUAACAAGGAAACCCUAAUUCGACUGCUUAAGCCCCAAGCAGCCCAUGGACCCCUUCUGGAACAUGCCUUGGACGAUUUCUAAUGGGCUUCCCCAUAGAAUUCGUCAAACCUAUUAUUCCAAGGUGAUCCAUAGCCCAAUUGCAAUUAUCUUAUAAUUACAAUUCCAGUCCCCUAAGUUUAAUUAAUCUCUUUUAGCCACAAAAUUAAUUCUUGACUAAUAUUAAUUAAACAAAGGAAAACCUCACAAAAACCCUAUGUAUUACACACUAACUCUUAAAAAACCCUUAUAUUAUCAAUUGGUACAAUUUAACCAUUAUUAUUUCAGAAAUUUAUUGUUUGGAUUAUUUGUAACUGGUUAAGUUUAAGGAACCGGUGGCAUAAAUGCCGUGGCAUCUAAAUGGAUGACAUGGCUGUACUUUGGGUGACAUGUAGGCAAAGAAAACUAGGUUAAAAAGUGCAUCGCAUCUUAUUAUGCUUCUUCAAAGUUACGAUGUUGUUCUUGUUCAUCUUCUUCUUUUAACUUCGUCUUUGCAAAAAUGGGCGAUCGAUCGUAAGGAUCUUCUUCUUCUUCCUGAACUCCAAACUACAAAAACGUUUUGUGUAAAUGUGGUGAACAACCAAAGAUUUGGACUUCAAUGACCAGGAAGAACCCAGGCCGACAUUUCAUUCGAUGCCCUAAGUCGUUGGUACACGAUAUUCUUUUAAGAUUGAUAUUGUUUCUAAAAUUCUUACUCAAAUACUUCAUUUUUUUGUAGGAUGCUUCAAAAGAUUGUAAAUUUUUUGUGUGGGUGGAUGAGGAUUUGGGUCUUCACUGGUAUAAGAGUAAAGUGGAUGACUUGCAUAGAAAGAAUGUAGAUUUGUUCAAGGAUAAUAUGAUUCUUUCCAAAAAGAAUAUGGAAUUGGAGAAGGAGAAUUUGAAUCUGCAAAAAAAAAUUAAUGAACUUUGAGCUGAUUGAAGAAAAAGAGAGUUGUGUAUUCAUGGUUAGGUUGAUGAUGUUUGGUAUUGUUCUGGUUUGCAUCUUCAUUUGGAUUAUAAUUAUGUAAUAGGGAAACUAGGUUAAUGUAAAAUAGCUAAAUAUGUAUUAGGGUGAUGUUGUUUGGUUUAUGCACCUUUGUAAAGAGACUAGUGUAUUCAUCUGUUUUAUGAAGAGAAUGUAGAUGUGUCAGUAUAUGGAUUGUUCUAGGCUCCCUUCUUAUGGUUCUAAUGUCAUUUUAUAUUUGGGUACAAAUUAUUUGGACGAUUUUACCCAUUUGGUCGCAUAUUAUCUCAUUAUUGAGAUUAUUUUUGUUGAUUUCAUUUUUUUUUUGGUUUCAACACUUACCUGCAUUUCCCCAGUUUUGUUUUUACAAUUUAAGCAUUUGGAUUCAAUUAAAAAAGGAAGAUAAAGGCAUAAAGUUAUGUUAUGUUCCAUAUCUACUUUUGUUGUUCGUUUGUGAAUAAUGAUUAAUGAAUAAAACUUGUUUCUUUUUAUCUGUCCAACAUUAGCAUAAUAAGAAUACCUUAAUCAAUGUUAGUAUCUAUCUAAUCGGACAUUGGUUUACCAACAACUAUUAGAGUAAUCCACACACACCAGCACCCAAUGCAGAAACAUAACAGAAAAAAAAUCGACUUAUCAUACAAAAACAGAAAAAGAAAUACAGAAACAGAAACAGAAAAAAAAAUAUGAUUUCAAUAUUGUAUUGAUAAGCCAUUCCCCAUUUUACCCUCUUGACUCAUAUUUGUUUUAACACUCUGUCACCCCUGAUUCGGAAAUACAGAAACAAAAAAAAAUGAUUUAUUAUACAUAAAUAGUUCAUAAGAAAUAGUUAAAUUCACCAUUUUUGGCCAUUGACCAUUUUGUCCUUGUUGAUUGUUUAUGCUUUUAGCAUACCAGACAUAAAAUAUGACAAUUAUGGAGGAAAAAGAGGAACAUAAAGUACAUUUUUAGCAUUUUUAAAACCACACUACAUUAAAAAAAUAGGAGGAAUAUAACCUGUUAAUGGGACAUAAUGUGAUUACAUUUCAAUAACAAAAUACUAGGAAUACUAAAUUCCAAGUAACAAAAAUAUUACAAAAGACUAGAGUUUUGUCCAUUCCAGCUCCUAAAUCUAAUAUUCUAAAUAAUCCUUUGAGACGACUCUCUUGGUUUGAGUUUUGCACGGAUAACAGGUACAUCAAUUCCUAUCCCGUCAACCAUAUUAGAUUGAUCUACCAAAUUAUCUACAAAAAAGUUAUGAAAGUAUUAAANAUAUAUAAUUAUUUUUUACCAUUUUCAAUAUCAAAUUGAGUUUCAGGCACUACAUCUUGAGUUUCAGCCACUCCAUCAUCUUGAGUUAUAGGAACUCUUGAUCUGUUGUGGACUUUGCAGCUUGCCAAAAUAAGGUGUUAUAAAUCUCUCCACUGAAACGCUUGUAAAAAUUGGCACAAAUAUGACGGGCACAUUGUCGGUGCUCAGCAUGUGGCAUCACCCCCUUUACGGCUUCAAGAAGACCUGCAUUUAAAUAUGUCAUACAAUUUUAAAAAGUCUCAACAAAUAUGAAUAGGUGCUGUUAUGACUUAGGGGUUGUUUUGUCAUUUCAAAUAUGUCAAAUUUUGUUAAAAAGGUGUCAAAAAUGUCAAUAGGGGCUGUUUUCACAUAAGGUUUGUUUUGCUAUUUUAAAUAUGUCAAAAUUUGUUAAAAAGUGUCCAAAAAGUGUCAAUAGGGGCUGUUUUGACAUAAGGUUUUUAACAUAUAUCCAUAUUGGUCAAAAUAAGCAUUACUAGGUAGAAAAUUACCUUAUGUAGAUCUGAUAUUAAAGUAAGUCCAUUUCCUUGAACUGUUUCAAUAUCUGAUUGUAGUAAUUCAAUGAACCACUUCCAAUUAUCUUUAUCUUCUACAUUCACAACCGCCCAUGCAAUGGGGUAAAUUGGUUGUUUCCAUCUCGACCAAUAGCAGCUAGCAACUCUCCUUUAACUUUCUCUUUCAAGAAACAUCCAUCUAAAUCAAUCACCUUACGACAUCCUUUCAACCAUCCUUCUUUUAAAUCCUUCAAACAAAUGUAGAUUCUUUUGAAAUAUUUUGCAUCCGGAUUGAAAUCAACUCCAAUUUCAACAGUGCUUCAUGGGUUUGAUCUCAAAACUUCGUUACCGUAAUCCCAUAUUCUAGCAUAAUGACCAGUUAACUUGCCCUCAAUUAGUGUAAAUGCUAAUGUCCUUGCCCUUUCACACUGACCUUUGCUAAGAUUUAAAGAAUAUCUUUGUAAAAAAAUCAGCUUUCAUUUCUUUGACUUUUGUUUUGGGAUUGCGAAUUAGGUCACUAAGGUAAUGGUUAGCAAUCCAACUUGGAGUUAUCAAUGACCCGAGGCUGUAUUUUCGUGCACAAACAUGUUUCUUUUCCAAAGAUUUCACUUGCCUAGUUAGUUCAUUUCCCAUCCAAGACGCCUAACAUCUAAAUGGACACUUAUUCUCACCAUUUUUUAGCCACAACGUACUAAUAUCCUAGAACGAUCACACUUGGCAAACCUCAAGUGGUAUCCAUUAGCCACCGCAUAAUUUGUUAGAGAAAGCUUGAACUGUUCUGGGCUUUCGUAUUUUUCCCCCACGUGUGGUUCCAUUCUGUUCCAAGGGAUCCUAGGGUUGUGUACAAGAAAUUGGUCCCCAAUUUCUUGAUCUUGAUGCUCUCCUUCGUCAUAUUCUUCAUCUGAAUGGGUCAAUUCAACAUCAUCAGAUGAUAUUUCAGGGAACUCCACUUCACCCUGUACCAAGUCAUUCUAAAAAGGAUCCCAUAUUGUUUUGUCCAUUGAAGAAGGAACAUAUUCUUCUUCAUCAGACUCGUCGUCUGUUCCAUUCACACCCUCCGUAUAAACUUCACAUAAUACAUUUGAAAUUGAAGUCAUGGCUUUUGGUUAAAGCUUCCUUGAAGAAUCAAUGGAAACAACAAAAAUAAGAACCAGGGGUAGAAGACGGGUUGAUGUUCUGAUUAAGCGAAAUAGAAGAAUGAUCGAUUACCUUUUUUUCGUGUGAUUGAGCAACAAGUUUCCCGCCACUUCCAAGAUGCUUUCCCUCCUGUACGUAGCUUUCCCUUUCAUUUUUUACAGAGUGACCGAUAUCAAGUUAAAAGAGAAUGAAGGUAAUCUACGUAGACUAAUAAGAACGGGUAACCUAGGGUUACUGGAUAAAUGAGAUAGAUUACACGGUUUCUGAAAUAAUAAUGGUUAAAUUGUACCAAUUGAUAAUAUAAGGGUUUUUCUAAGCGUUAGUGUAUAAUACAUAGGGUUUUUGUGAGGUUUUCCCAUUAAACAAUAUGAUUUCUCCUUUAAUAUAUUAUUCUCAUAAUAUUUAACACCCCAAAUUCCAGAGGUGUUGUUGAAGGGCUUAAAUUGGAAACUAAGGAAAGGGACUCGACAAGUAGGCAUGCUUACUCGCCGAGUCGGAGCGGGAUUUGUCACAGGUUUAAGUGGCCAACUCGCCGAGUCGGCGGCUUGUACUCGUAGAGUUGGUGCUGAAGGGAGAAAACCCUAAUCCCGGAGGUUGUGCCCUAUAUAAAGCACAUUAUAACCCACCAUCAGCGUCUUUGCUACCCUUUUGAGAUCCAUAAUCCCUAAUUUCAUUUGUGACAAGACUUGGAAGCAAAUUGGUGUGAUUUGUGAAGGGAUCUGGUAGAUAAAGAAGCUUGGAUCAAGGAGACUUGAAGAGAUCCGGAUUAUACUUCAGUGGGAGGUUAUUUUGGAGGUAAGGAAUCGUUAUCCUUGGCCUUCUCCUUUCUAGUUCCAUUUUCAUGGAGUUUUAGGGUUUGGUUGGAGAAAUAUUUGUAACAUCCCGAGUUCAGGAGUGCAAGUUCAGGGUUCAAAGUGUAUGUGUGGAAGGGAAACUCGGCGAGUCCAUGGGUGGACUCGGCGAGUAGAGUCGCGACUUGGGUCGCGUGUUAAGUGGCCAACUCGGCGAGUAGGUGCUGAAUGGAGAAAACCCUAAUUUUGGAGGAUGAGCCCUAUUUAAAGGAAAUUAUACCCUCUCCCCAGCCUCUUUACCCUCUCUUGAAGUCCUGAAGACCCUAAGGCGCGGUUGUGAGGGAUUUGAGUGCAUUUGAACCUUGGAGAAGAGAUUUUGGAGGAGAUCUUGGAGAGUUAAGAGGCUUGGAGCAAGGGGCUUUGCUAAGAUUCGGAUUUCUCUUCGGUUGGAGCUUCCUUUUGAGGUAUUAUUUCGUUGUUUGGGCUGUUAUUCUUCAUUUUGGAGUAUUUGGAAAGAUUAGCUUGUGGUAUCUUGAGUUUGGAGGUUAGAUCUGGGGUUGCUAACUCAGAUCUGGAAUGGAGAAGGUCUAGAGUGCAUUAAAGUCCCUGUUCUUGGGUGUUUGGUGAAGCCAUCUUGUCCCAAACCCUAUCCCUAGAGUGUAAAAUGCCUAAAUCUCUUUGGAUUCACGUAAAGUUUGCCACUUUACGUGAUGGAUGGGCUGUAGAAGGGUAGAUCCAUGGUUUGGAUCAACUGCAUGGGUUGAAAGGCUUCUGUAUGGGUUAAGAUCUAGAGGCACUCGGCGAGUCACAAAGGUGUACUCGGCGAGUUGCUUGAAGAUGUUCAGGAACUCUGCGAGUUGGAAGAACAACUCGGCGAGUAGGUUGAAGAUAGCCUUGGACUCGACGAGUCUGUUCUUGGACUCGGCGAGUCUGGUCGUGAGGUUCUAACUUCUUCUGGUUGAGCCAUGAAUCAGUGAGUCAAGGGAGGACUCGGUGAGUUGAGUGCGAGGGGACUCAGAGUCGUGGGACUCGGCGAGUCUCGGGGUGACUCGGCGAGUUGAGUCGCGGAUUGGGGAAGUUCUGAGCAUGGGGACUCGGCGAGUAGAGUCAGUCAGGAGGUUGACUUUGACUUUGACUUUGACCAACGGUUGACCAGUUGACUUCUAGGGGCAUUUUGGUAAUUGUUGGCUUUUGUUUGAGUUCAGUGUUGGUGUCGGCUAGUGGUGGUGAUCGUCUCAGUGGUCGGACCAUCUUGGUCUUAUCUGUUCACUCGGCAAUGGCGAGGUGAGUUAUCCUCACUAUAUCAACAGGGUCUAAGGCACCAAGGCCGACCCUUUAUCGGAUUGUGAUCCGGGUAUAGUUGUUAUGUUAUUGCUUUGAUAUGUUUGCAUCAUGGUAGUUAGGAUGGUAUAUGCUAGUGACUGGUUAGGUCGGUAUCCUGGUUAGGAUGAUGAUAUGUUAUGUAAUCUGCUAGAUCGGCUUGAUUGAAUGUGAAUUGUUAUAUGAUUAAAUGUUUAUGUGCACAUGGUUGUUGGACUGAGGUUUGGGUUGAGGCAGGUCCUGCUUUGUGUUGUAGGCCAACAUACCCAGGGCGGACCGGUUAUCCCGAAGGUCCAGCUAGCGGUCCAGAUAGGCUGCAAGCCCUAAGAGGGCGGACCAGAUGUGCCGACGCUCGAAGAGUGGACCAGACCGACUGAAGGCCCGGUGCGGGCGGACCAGUCAUACUGUAGACUCAGAGAGUGGACUAGGUGGAUUAAAGGUCCGGUGCGGGCGGACCAAUCACACUGUAGACUCGAUGUAUAUGGCUAGACUCGGAGGGUGGACCAGGUGGACUGUUGGCCGGUACGACGGACCAGUCUCACAGUAGACCUGAAGUGCAUGGUUGUUCUGUGUUCUGUUAUGAUAUGUAUGCUAUUAUGUUAUGGGCCGGAAGGCACUAUGUUUUGGACCGGAAGGUCGUGGCCUGGAAGGGCGUAUGUGUGGUUGGUAUUUUGGGGGUAUCUCACUAAGCUUUCGGGCUUACAUUUGUGGUUUAAUGUUUUUCAGGUUCUUCAGGAGACCGUGGCAAGGCAAAGGCGUGAUCGUACCGCUCCUCGUGAUUUUGUUUUACGAUGUGGUUCUGGGAAGACUCUGAUAAUAAUUGUAUCAAAAACCUUUUUGUAAUAACUUUAUGAAACCGGUUUGUUUUGAAAAGUUUAAUUUGGUUGAAAUUUUUAGAGUGUUACAAGUUGGUAUCAGAGCCUUGGUUUGAGUGAAUUGGAGGAACAUUCAUGUGAAUCCAGUCUCAAAUCAAGGAGAGUUUUUCAAAAGAGAAUUCAAAAUGGUUUUCAAAAUGAGUAAAGGAGGACGCGGAGGUACGAUCAGCCGGAGCCAGUAAGUAGCCCCAAAAUACCAUACAUGAUAAUUGUUUUUAAACUUUGAUAGAACAGCAUGCUAGUACUAGGCUAGGGAUCUUCAGGAUUUCAUGUUAAUGUUGCCUGAUUUAUGAUGCCAGUUAACCUAGGGUUUCUUCUGUGGGAGAUUUCCAGUGUUCCUCUAGGAGUGAGGAUUGAGUGCUUGUUAUGUAUGAUUUUCGCUAGGGUGUCGUGGUAAUACUUGAUACAAAUAUGGGUAGGUGUGGAAGGUAGUAUGGGCCUGUACUACUGAAAGCAUAGGACCCAUACGCGUAUCAAAGAAACCAUGACCUCUAGGGUUGGGUUGGGGGUUGGUUCCUGGGAUAGUGGGAAGUAUCUGAGAUCUUGCGAUGUUUUUCAGUAUGGUGGUUACGAGGCAUGCUGGGAGUGGAUCCGGAUCAGGAUCUGGAGCUGGAGGGGACGGUCAGGGUGGAUCAGUACCGCCCGAGGUUAUUGUUCAGAUGAGCACAGGCGAGUUGGAUGCUAGGAUUCGUGAGAUCCUGCAUGAUAAGGUUGCUGCGUUGUUCCGGGCCGAGUUGUCGGAACUGUUUGGGUCGAUCAAGACCGCCAUGAUUGAGUAUUUGGAUGAGCGCUAUGCGGCUCUCGCAGAGAGGGCUGCCGCGGCGGCUACAACGGCUAUAGCGGCGACAGGAGGAAGAGCUGGUAGAGGUUUCCAGUAUCGGAACUUCGAUAAUACGAAGCCCCCUACCUUUGAUGGAGUUCAGGACCCGAUUGUUGCUAUGAGGUGGUUGUCAGAUGUGGAGGGGUGUUUUUUACAUGCUAAUUCCCUGCUGAUCAGAGGGUGAGGUGUGCUCUAAACCUGUUGAGGCUUGGGGCAAAGGAUUGGUGGAGAUUGACCACGGGGUCAUACUCGGAUGCGCAGAGGGCUGCGGUUUCAUAAGAUCAGUUCCGGGAAAUGUUCAGCACUCGUUAUGUUCCGCGGGUUGAGAGGGAGAGAUUGGCUCAAGAGUUCCUUGAGUUGAAGCAGGAUUCAGAGUCGGUGACGGAGAUCACCAGGAUGUUCACUGAGAGGGCGAUGUUUUGCCCUGAGUUUGCUUCAGAGCAGGCUCAGAUGUCCGGAUAUCUGAGUAUGCUCAAGAGGGAUAUCAAGCAGUUCGUGUCUGCGCAGAGGUGCGAGACCUUGUUGGAGUUGCAGGAGGCCGUGAGGCGGCGUGAGUUGGAGAUUGAGUUGCAGAUGCGAGAGCUAAGGCAGGCUCCGGUGCAGUCGCAGCCGACGCCGAAACGGUCCAAUACCGUUGAUUCUAGGUUGGGAGAUCAGUGCAGCCACACUUGUGGGAAGUGUGGGAAGGGUCACACCGGAGUUUGUAGGUCCGAUGGUGCAUGCCGCAAGUGCGGAAGGGAGGGGCACUAUGCAAGGGAUUGUCGGUAGACAACCCCGAUUCGAGAUUUGAGGAUUUGUUAUCAUUGCCAUUAGGUUGGACACUGAGGGUCAACUGUCCACAGCUUGCUGCAGGACCGGUGCAGGCUCUAGAACCGGCCACUUUGAGGAAUACGGGUGGAGGUCAGGGUGGAGCGGAGCCCCCAAGGGCUCAAGUCGUGCUUUUCAGCUUACAGCGGAGGAGGUCAGGGCAGUUUCGGAUGCAGUUGCGGGUAUGUUUCUUUCUUGAUGUCUUGUUAUUUGGUGAUUUUUGUGGUGUAUUGUUUAUCUGCUAGUCUCGUUGUGUGAUUCUGGUGUUGUAUUCGUUGUUCCUUGAGGGUUGUGGUAUGGUUAUGGAUUUGGUGUUGGAAAUUUCGUUGGUUAUCAUUUAUGAGGAUUUUUAGCGGGAAUCUGGUUUUGGUCUAAAUGUUGGGUAGCAUCUGCAGUCUGAGGAGUGGCUAGCUGAAGAUCGGGUUUCUUUCUAGCUGGGUUGAUCAGUGUCAUUAUGAAUUUGUGAGGAUUGCUUGUUCUGGUAGGAAUCAAUUCGCGUGUAAGGGUUUGUGUUGAGUAGGGUUAUCGAGGGAGGUCGGUGAUGGCGACCGGUGGUUGAUAGUUAGUGCUCUAAGUGGGGGAGAAUUGGAGAAUUCUCCGGAAGAUCGAUAGGCACGAGAGGUUGCUUAGCUGUUGAGAUUUAGUAGCGGUUCUGACAGCCGAGCGUAGGCUGGAAUGAGCAAGUGCCAGGCAAGCGGGGCGGGAUGCAGACCAAGGGUGAUUGAUGGUGGAAGGCCUAUGAUCAGGUCGGGUUUGAGUAUGUAGGGUGGAGACAGAGUUUAAAACCCCUAGAGGGCUAGAACGGUAUGCAUGGGAGAGUUUUCCUGGAGGGAUAAUUCGGGAUGUUGGAUAUUAGUUGAGCGGUCCGGAUAGACUGAAGGUCGGUAGGCGUACUAGUCAGGCCGAAGGCUCGGAGAACGGUCCAGACAGGCUGAAGGCCCUGGAGGGAGGUCCAGACCUGUUGAAGGUUCUGAGAGUGGUCCAGAUGGGCUGAAGGCCUGGUAAGGCGGUCCAGUCAUGCUGAAGACUUUGCAUGUGUUGUUAGAUCCGUAUGAGGAUAUGGAAUGAGUAUGGCGUGAUGUGUUAGCAACAGUGGGUCUGGCCCCGGGUAUUUAUCAUCGAUUGGUGGAAGGUAGUGCAUGGACUCGAGAGUCCUUGCGAUCAGAUUCAGAGUAUGUAUGGUGCAUGGGAUAGCGGUUAUGUUAUAAGAAAUGGUGUAAUAUUGGGUGAGCACAGUGGCACUUGUGAUAGUGUCAAGACAACCAAGUGGAUUUCCUUGGUAAGGAAAGGGAAAGGAAUGUAGCCCCGAGAGGGAGUGUAAGUUCACGGAAGUGAAAGCAGUAGUGCGGAGUUAUGAUUGGAGUGUUCCAAUUAUGGUCUUGUAGCAGCGUGUUUGCGGAAGUGGUAUGGAAUCACAUCCGGUUUGGAUGUUUGCUGAGAUCACGGAAGGAAUUCCGAGGGUGUAGAGCCAGGAGGCUCGGAAGGGAUGUAGGGAUGGAGUCUUGGAUUCCCAAUUUGAUUUUGAUCAAGGAAUUAUGUAUGUAGUGGAAAUUCAUCCUGGGGGAAGUUUGGAGGUGUCGUCAGUGCAUCAGGUUUUCCUAACCCGAGGAUGUUAGAACCAGUCCGGCAUGGGUAUGAGAUUGCGGGGGAGAGCUCGUGGGAGUUGCUCUGAGACUAAAUGAUGUGUCCUUCUGUCAACCUGGAAUGGAUAGAGUUGGACUCCGAUCGGGAUUCCGGUGGUUCAGGGUUAUUUCUAGCUCGAAUGAGUCAAGUGAUUGGUGUGAUUUGGAGCGAGCGAAGUAUCAUGAAAUGGUACUUGGCUGUUAAAUGGAAUUAUAUGAGGAUGAGGCCGGUGGCCGGAUUGAGGCAGUGGUCAGAAUGCCGUAGGAGANUUUGGGGGGGGGGGGGUUGUUUUGAGGAAUCUGGUCUGGUUAAUGCCUUGAGGCGCAUUGCGAGAGUAAUUCUAGAGUUGUGUUGCUGCAGGCUUCGAGGACGAAGCCUAUUUUAAGUGGGGGAGAAUUGUAACAUCCCGAGUUCAGGAGUGCAAGUUCAGGGUUCAAAGUGUAUGUGUGGAAGGGCAACUCGGCGAGUAGGGUCGCGACUUGGGUCGUGUGUUAAGUGGCCAACUCGGCGACUCGGAGGAUAGACUCAACGAGUAGGUGCUGAAUGGAGAAAACCCUAAUUUCGGAGGAUGAGCCCUAUUUAAAGGACAUUAUACCCUCUCCCCAGCCUCUUUACCCUCUCUUGAAGUCCAGAAGACCCUAAGGCGCGGUUGUGAGGGAUUUGAGUGCAUUUGAACCUUGGAGAAGAGAUUUUGGAGGAGAUCUUGGAGAGUUAAGAGGAUUGGAGCAAGGGGCUUUGCUAAGAUUUGGAUUUCUCUUCUGUUGGAGCUUCCUUUUGAUGUAUUAUUUCGUUGUUUGGGCUGUUAUUCUUCAUUUUGGAGUAUUUGGAAAGAUUAGCUUGUGGUAUCUUGAGUUUGGAGGUUAGAUCUGGGGUUGCUACCUCAGAUCUGGAAUGGAGAAGGUCUAGAGUGCAUUAAAGUCCCUGUUCUUGGGUGUUUGGUGAAGCCAUCUUGUCCCAAACCCUAGCCCUAGAGUGUAAAAUGCCUAGAUCUCUUUGGAUUCACAUAAAGUUUGCCACUUUACGUGAUGGAUGGGCUGUAGAAGGGUAGAUCCAUGGUUUGGAUCAACCGCAUGGCCUGAAAGGCUUCUGUAUGGGUUAAGAUCUAGAGGCACUCGGCGACUCACAAAGGUGCACUCGGCGAGUUUCUUGAAGAUGGUCAGGAACUCGGCGAGUAGGUUAAAGAUAGCCUUGGACUCAGCGAGUCUGUUCUUGGACUCGGCGAGUCUGGUCGUGAGGUUCUAACUUCUUCUGGUUGAGCCAUGAAUCAGUGAGUCAAGGGAGGACUCGGUGAGUUGAGUGCGAGGGGACCCAGAUCCGUGGGACUCGGCAAGUUGAGUCGCGGAUUGGGGAAGUUCUGAGCAUGGGGACUCGGCGAGUCAUCGAGUUGACUCGGUGAGUAGAGUCAGUCAGGAGGUUGACUUUGACUUUGACUUUGACCAAGGGUUGACCAGUUGAAUUCCAGGGGCAUUUUGGUAAUUUUGGCUUUUGUUUGAGUUCAAUGUUGGUGUCGGCUAGUGGUGGUGAUCGUGUCAGUGGUCGGAGCAUCUUGGUCAUAUCUUUUCAGUCGGCAGUGGCGAGGUGAGUUAUCCUCACCAUAUCAACAGGGUCUAAGGCACCAAGGCCAGCCCUUUAUCGAAUUGUGAUCCGGGUAUCGUUGUUAUGUUAUUGCUUUGAUAUGUUUGCAUCCUGGUAGUUAGGAUGAUAUAUGCUAGUGACCGGUUAGGUCGGUAUCCUGGUUAGGAUGAUGAUAUGUUAUGUGAUCUGCUAGAUCGGCUUGAUUGAAUGUGAAUUGUUAUAUGAUUAAAUGUUUAUGUGCACAUGGUUGUUGGACUGAGGUUUGGGUUGAGGCGGGUCCUGCUUUGUGCUGUAGGCCAACAUACCCAGGGCGGACCGGUUAUCCCGAAGGCCCANNNNNNNGCGGUCCGGAUAGGCUGCAGGCCCCAAGAGGGCGGACCAGACAUGCUGACGCUCGGAGAGUGGACCAGACCGACUGANUAUGUGGUUAGAUUCAGAGAGUGGACCAGGUGGAUUGAAGGCACGGUGCGGGCGGACCAAUCACACUGUAGACUCGAUGUAUAUGGCUAGACUCGGAGAGUGGACCAGGUGGACUGUUGGCCGGUGCGGCGGACCAGUCUCACAGUAGACCCGAAGUGCAUGUAUGUUCUGUGUUCUGUUAUGAUAUGUAUGCUAUUAUGUUAUGGGCCGGAAGGCACUAUGUUUUGGACCGGAAGGGCGUAUGUGUGGUGGGUAUUUUGGGGGUAUCUCACUAAGCUUUCGGGCUUACAGUUGUGGUUUAAUGUUUUUUUUAGGUUCUUCAGGAAACUGUGGCAAGGCAAAGGCGUGAUCGUACCGCUCAUCAUGAUUUUGUUUUACGAUGUGGUUCUGGGAAGACUCUGAUAAUAAUGGUAUCGAAAACCUUUUUGUAAUAACUUUAUGAAACCGGUUUGUUUUGAAAAGUUUAAUUUGGUUGAAAUUUUUAGAGUGUUACAAUAUUGAUGAGAUCUUGAAGCAUGAGUCAGAUCUGGAGUUGAAACUCCAUAUCUGAGUUCUAUAUGGAUCAUUGAUGCAAAAAGCCUUUCUAGUUGUUAUGCAAAAGCCCUUCCCCAAGAGUUAAGUCCCUUUCUAGCUUGGUUUUUGGUAUUAUGGGGCAAGAAGCAUGUAAAGGUGGCAACUUUAUGUUGCUAAUGGACCCUAAUGACCCAUAUCUAUUGUGUGGAGCAAAGGAGUAGCUCUGUGACUCAAGAUUAUGAGAAUGCACGUAUGGACUCGGCGAGUCUGGGAGAUGACUCGGAGAGUCGGGCUAGAGAUCAUACAUUGAGUCGCGUAGUAAAUCGACGAGCCGCAUGGGUGACUCGACGAGUUGGAAGAACAACUCGGCGAGUCUAUUGAAGAUUGUCGUGAACUCGGCGAGUCUGUUCUUGUUCUCGGCGAGUCUGCUCGCAGAACCUAACCUAUUUCAGUUAAAGCCUUGGAUUAGUGAUUCGGUUGGGGAAUCAGCGAGUUGGUCAGGAUGGAACUCAGAGAUCGUUGGACUCGACGAGUCUUGGGGCGACUCGGCGAGUUAAGUCGUGCCAUAAGAGUUUUUUGGAUAUAAGAACUCGGCGAGUCGACGGGUUGACUCGGCGAGUAGAGUCAAUCAGGAAGGAGGACUUUGACUUUGACCUUCAGGGGUAUUAUGGUAAUUUGGAUAUUUAUGUUAAUGGUUAUUGAUGGAUAUAGGUGUUGGAGUUUGAGGCGGUGCUUCGGGAUUGUACUCUUGUGAUUCGGUUCGGCAGUUGCAAGGUGAGUUAUCCUCACUAUACUAAGGGGUCUAAGGCACCAAGGCCGACCCAUUGGAUAUGUUAUCCUAGUAGUGUUAUAUGUUGAGUAUGAGUCUGUGUUACAUGCUAGUGGUUAUGCCAGUUAGGUAGACCUGUAGGACUACCUGUGAUGUUGUAUGAUUAUUGCAUGCUCAGUGGUUAUGUUAUAUGUUAUGUGGGUUGGGUUGAGGUUGUACUACUCCAUGCGGUAGCCAACAAACCAUAGAGUAUUCCAGAUAUGAGCUGAGGGCCCGGUUGGCUCAUACUGAGGACUCGGGAGUAUGCCAGAUAUGAGCUGAGGGCCCGGUUGGCUCAUACUGAGGACUCGGGAGCAUUCCAGAUACGAGCUGAGGGCCCGGUAGGUAUUACAGACUCAUACUGAGGGAUCGGUGGCAAUCCAAAUGUGAGCUGAGGGCUCGGUAGGCAUUCCAGACUCACACUGUGGGCCCAGGGGUAUUUCAGUCUGUAGAGUUGUGGACCCGUUACGUGUUGUUCUGUUCAGUUUGUAAUGUUAUGAUAUUGUUGAUAUCAUUAUGUGGACUGUAUGUGUAUCGGUAUUUUGGUGGUAACUCACUAAGCUUUCGGGCUUACGGUUUCAGUUUAUUGUUUCAGGUACUUCAGGGGAUCGUGGCAAGGCAAAGGCGUGAUCGUACAGCUCCUCACUUUUAUCACUUUAUUUAUGGGAUACUCUGAUAUGAUACAUUUUGAAAACAAGUUUGUAAUAGUUAAUGGAUUUGAAAUGUUUUUAAGAGUUUAAAUUGGCUUGAAUUUUUCAGGUGUUACAUAAUAUAUUAAUAAAUCAUAAUUAAACCUUUCUCUCCUUAAUUCAUCCUACAUAUUGCUAUGGUGAAGGCAACCCAAAAGGACCAUGCUCAUAAUUGGGUCAAGUACAUACCAAAAUAGUUAUGGACUUAGACACUAAUCCAACAAAUGAGACCUUCUCACCAGUAGCGAAGAUUAAGUCUAUUAGUGUUCUGCUAGCCAUAGUUGCGUUUCAUGAUUAUGAAAUAUGGCAAAUGGAUGUCAAAACCGCUUUCCUUAAUGGAAAGUUGGUUGAGGAUGUUUACAUGAAUCAGCCAAAGGGUUUUGUCGAUGCAAUGUAACCUAAUAGAGUGUGUAAGCUUGAAAAAUCCAUUUAUGGAUUGAAACAAGCAUCUCGCAGAUGGAAUCUUUGCUUCAAUGAGAAACUCAAAGAGUUUGGCUUUUUGAGGAGCGAGGAUGAGUCCUGUGUAUAUGUUAGGGCUAGUGGGAGUAUAGUUAGUUUUUUAGUGGUGUAUGUGGAUGACAUACUACUCAUAGGAAAUGACAUCCCAACUUUGCAGGAGGUUAAGUCCUGGCUUGGGAAGUGUUUCGCUAUGAAGGACCUUAGAGAAGCUGCCUAUAUCCUAGGGAUAAGAAUACUGAGAGAAAGGAGUAAAAGACUAAUUGGACUUAGUCAGAGUACCUACUUGGAUAAAGUGUUUAAGAGGUUCAACAUGGAGAAUUCCAAGAAAGGAGACUUACUGAUCCAGCAUAAUGCCAGACUGAGUAAGAUUUAGAGUCCGAGUACAAAGGCUGAGAUAGCUGAGAUGAGUCGAUUACCAUAUGCUUCCGCUAUUGGCUCGAUCAUGUAUGCUAUGACUUGUACUCGCCCUGAUGUGGCCUUUGCUUUGAGCAUGGUCAGCAUAUAUCAGGGAAACCUUGGCAAGGCUCACUAGACUACGGUAAAGACCAUUCUCAAGUACCUACGGAGGACUAAGGACUGGGUUCUUACCCUCGGUGGGAGUGAUGACUUGAGAGUAGCAGGGUAUACUGAUGCUAGCUUUCAGACUGAUAGGGAUAAUUUCCACUCUCAGUCAGGUUGGGUCUUUACCCUAAAUGGAGGAGCAAUUACUUGGAAAAGUUCCAAGCAGGAGACAGUAGUUGAUUCUACUUGUGAAUCAGAGUACAUAGCAGCGAGUGAAGUGACAAAGGAGGCGAUAUGGCUGAAGAACCUCAUUGGAGACCUUGGGGUUGUACCAGCUAUACAGGAGCCUAGAGAGAUUUUCUGUGACAACAAUAGUGCGGUUGCCUUAGCCAAGGAACCAAGAGAUCACGGUAGAUCCAGACACAUUGACAAAAAAAUAUCACUUCAUAAGACACAAGAUAGAAGAAGGACUCCUUGUGGCAAUAUCGUCAGAAGAGAAUCUUGCAGAUCCCCUCACGAAGGGACUGACUAGGGUUAGGGAUUUGCAGCAUGCGAGAAGCAUCGGGCUGAGAGACGAUAUUAGUUUUAAUAAUUAGAUUGUUUUUUGAAACUUGUAGAAUUUAAUUAACAUUUGAUGAUUAAAUAAAAGUUGUUAUUUAUUUAUGAUUAAAGUGUUACUAUCCUAUGUUGAUCGUUUACUGUUGUUUCAAUUUUGCAUGUUUUGACUUCCAGAAUAAUUAUUUUAUUCAAACUCUCCUCAGUCGGUCAUACGUUGGAAGUAGGUAUUGAAUUAAGAUUGUCAUGAAUCUGGCUUGUAAGAUUUGUCUAAGGUGAAUUAGACAUAGCAAUGGUUGCUGCAACAUUCAUGAGUGCUCAUAAGUUCUGAGUAUUAGAUUAAACCCACACUCACUUGUAUCACUUCAUGGAAUUUAUCUCGAGUGAUCGUGAGACGGUAAUAUCAUAUAUAUAUAUAUNNNNNNNNNNNNNNNNNNNNNNNNNNNNNNNNNNNNNNNNNNNNNNNNNNNNNNNNNNNNNNNNNNNNNNNNNNNNNNNNNNNNNNNNNNNNNNNNNNNNNNNNNNNNNNNNNNNNNNNNNNNNNNNNNNNNNNNNNNNNNNNNNNNNNNNNNNNNNNNNNNNNNNNNNNNNNNNNNNNNNNNNNNNNNNNNNNNNNNNNNNNNNNNNNNNNNNNNNNNNNNNNNNNNNNNNNNNNNNNNNNNNNNNNNNNNNNNNNNNNNNNNNNNNNNNNNNNNNNNNNNNNNNNNNNNNNNNNNNNNNNNNNNNNNNNNNNNNNNNNNNNNNNNNNNNNNNNNNNNNNNNNNNNNNNNNNNNNNNNNNNNNNNNNNNNNNNNNNNNNNNNNNNNNNNNNNNNNNNNNNNNNNNNNNNNNNNNNNNNNNNNNNNNNNNNNNNNNNNNNNNNNNNNNNNNNNNNNNNNNNNNNNNNNNNNNNNNNNNNNNNNNNNNNNNNNNNNNNNNNNNNNNNNNNNNNNNNNNNNNNNNNNNNNNNNNNNNNNNNNNNNNNNNNNNNNNNNNNNNNNNNNNNNNNNNNNNNNNNNNNNNNNNNNNNNNNNNNNNNNNNNNNNNNNNNNNNNNNNNNNNNNNNNNNNNNNNNNNNNNNNNNNNNNNNNNNNNNNNNNNNNNNNNNNNNNNNNNNNNNNNNNNNNNNNNNNNNNNNNNNNNNNNNNNNNNNNNNNNNNNNNNNNNNNNNNNNNNNNNNNNNAUUUUGGAAUUAAUUUAGUGAUCAAAAGAGGCUAAUUAAAUAUGGACUCUUAAAUAUAUAUAUGGAUUAGGCUAAGAUUUAUUUAGGAUGGACUAAGAGUAUAUGGAAGUCCAUGGACAGUCCAUGGAUCUUUUAACCCAUGGAUCCUAGGUAAAUGAAGAGUCAUGGGUAUUAGGGUUUAACCCUAAUCCUUCAUAGUAUAUAAAGAGGUCCUUGGUUCUAGAAUUGGCACUAGUGUGCGUGAGAAACAAGGGUGGGCCGAUUCUAGCAAGCAUCAUAUUCUCUCAAGUAUUUCCAAGUUGUUUUGGGUGAUUUGUGACACCACUUGAGGCAUCCACACUAUUGGUUCUAGGCUCUAAAACUCCAAGCAAUCAACCACAAAAGAAAGGUAUGUUAUUCUACUUAAAGUUUUAUAUUAUUAGUACCCCAUAACAUGCUAGUCAGGUUGUAAACCUUGGAAAUCAAAUUUGCAUGUAUUUUAGAGAAAACAUAGAUCCAAGGUUUCUAGAGUUGCAUGUACACCAUAGUAGUGUUAGAAUGCUCAAAACCUAACAAUAUUAUGGUUAAUGUAGGAGACAUCUCUAUUUUCCCCCGAAAAUCUUUAGAAUUACCACAACUUAGCUUUCAAUUCACCUCUGACCAUCAAAUGAAAUGUGAAUAAUCCGUCCUCUUCUCUUUGAAAGAAGGGGCUCUUCCG